UAAGACAUGCAAGUCGAACGAUCAUUAGCGGGUAGCAAUAUCUGCUAGUGGGAGUGGCGCAAGGGUGCGUAACACGUGGGCAAUCUGCCGUGAAGUUUGGGAUAACUUGCUGAAAGGCGAGCUAAUACCGGAUGUGACAACCUGGUGGCAUCAUUGGGUUGUUAAAGUUGGGGACCGCAAGGCCUGACGCUUCACGAUGAACCCGCGGCCUAUCAGCUAGUUGGUGAGGUAACGGCUCACCAAGGCUAAGACGGGUAGCUGGUCUGAGAGGACGACCAGCCACACUGGAACUGAGACACGGUCCAGACACCUACGGGUGGCAGCAGUCGAGAAUUUUUCACAAUGGGCGAAAGCCUGAUGGAGCGACGCCGCGUGGGGGAUGAAUGGCUUCGGCCCGUAAACCCCUGUCAUUCGCGAUCAACCCUUAUUAUUUAAAAGAUGAUGAGCUGAUAGUAGCGGAAGAGGAAGGGACGGCUAACUCUGUGCCAGCAGCCGCGGUAAUACAGAGGUCCCGAGCGUUGUUCGGAUUCACUGGGCGUAAAGGGUGCGUAGGUGGCGAGGUAAGUCGGAUGUGAAAUCUCCAAGCUCAACUUGGAAAUGGCAUUGGAAACUGCCCUGCUAGAGGAUCGGAGGGGGGACUGGAAUACUUGGUGUAGCAGUGAAAUGCGUAGAUAUCAAGUGGAACACCAGUGGCGAAGGCGAGUCCCUGGACGAUACCUGACACUGAGGCACGAAAGCUAGGGGAGCAAACAGGAUUAGAUACCCUGGUAGUCCUAGCCGUAAACGGUGCACGUUUGCUGUAAAAGGAAUCGACCCCUUUUGUGGCGUAGCCAACGCGUUAAACGUGCCGCCUGGGAAGUACGGUCGCAAGAUUAAACUCAAAGAAAUUGACGGGGGCCUGC
rnacentral:rRNA from 1 species